rnacentral:tRNA from 1 species
GCCCGCGUAGCUCAGUUGGUUAGAGCGCAUCCUUGGUAAGGAUGAGGUCACCGGUUCAACUCCGGUCGUGGGCUCCA